GAUGAACGCUGGCGGCGUGCCUAAUACAUGCAAGUCGAGCGAACAGAUAAGGAGCUUGCUCCUUUGACGUUAGCGGCGGACGGGUGAGUAACACGUGGGUAACCUACCUAUAAGACUGGAAUAACUCCGGGAAACCGGGGCUAAUGCCGGAUAACAUGUUGAACCGCAUGGUUCUACAGUGAAAGGCGGCUUUGCUGUCACUUAUAGAUGGACCCGCGCCGUAUUAGCUAGUUGGUGAGGUAACGGCUCACCAAGGCAACGAUACGUAGCCGACCCGAGAGGGUGAUCGGCCACACUGGAACUGAGACACGGUCCAGACUCCUACGGGAGGCAGCAGUAGGGAAUCUUCCGCAAUGGGCGAAAGCCUGACGGAGCAACGCCGCGUGAGUGAUGAAGGUCUUCGGAUCGUAAAACUCUGUUAUUAGGGAAGAACAAAUGCGUAAGUAACUGUGCGCGUCUUGACGGUACCUAAUCAGAAAGCCACGGCUAACUACGUG
rnacentral:rRNA from 1 species